UAAGGAAUAUUGGACAAUGGUGGCAACACUGAUCCAGCCAUGCCGCGUGAAGGAUGAAGGCCCUAUGGGUUGUAAACUUCUUUUGUACGGGAAAAAAAUGCUCUUCGUGUAAGAGUACUGAUGGUACCGUAAGAAUAAGGAUCGGCUAACUCCGUGCCAGCAGCCGCGGUAAUACGGAGGAUCCAAGCGUUAUCCGGAUUCAUUGGGUUUAAAGGGUGCGUAGGCGGAAUUGUAAGUCAGUGGUGAAAGCCCUCAGCUUAACUGAGGAACUGCCAUUGAUACUGCAAAUCUUGAGUACAUUUGAUGUGGGCGGAAUGUGUCAUGUAGCGGUGAAAUGCUUAGAUAUGACACAGAACACCGAUUGCGAAGGCAGCUCACAAAACUGUAACUGACGCUGAGGCACGAAAGCGUGGGUAUCAAACAGG
rnacentral:rRNA from 1 species